GGACCUGACUGCUAUCGGAUUGAUACUAAGCCAUGCGAGUCAUUGUAGCAAUACAAGGCAUACGGCUCAGUAACGCGUAGUCAACCUAACCUAUGGACGGGAAUAACCUCGGGAAACUGAGAAUAAUGCCCGAUAGAACAUUAUGCCUGGAAUGGUUUAUGUUCCAAAUGAUUUAUCGCCGUAGGAUGGGACUGCGGCCUAUCAGUUUGUUGGUGAGGUAAUGGCCCACCAAGACUAUUACAGGUACGGGCUCUGAGAGGGGUAGCCCGGAGAUGGGUACUGAGACACGGACCCAGGCCCUAUGGGGCGCAGCAGGCGAGAAAACUUUGCAAUGUGCGAAAGCACGACAAGGUUAAUCCGAGUGGUUUCUGCCAAAGAAACCUUUUGUCAGUCCUAGAAACACUGAUGAAUAAGGGGUGGGCAAGUUCUGGUGU
rnacentral:rRNA from 1 species